AUUCAUAGUUCUCAUACUUAGACACAAUUAAACUGUGCUUGCCAAGGGUCUCCUCUGGGCCAACCUUGGUUCUGAGAUAGCAGGUGCUGAAAUACUGCUGAAUCCUCAAAGCCAGACUAGCCAGUGCCUGGCACCUGAUGGGAAUAUGAUUUCAACGAACAGCUCACAGAAUCCUCCCCACAAAGCCGAGAAGCAGGAAGCAGCAACCCUCCCAGAUGAAGAAGCGAAGGCUCGGAAAAGCUAAGUAACUUCUCCAAGCUGACGCAGCUCGUGAGAGGAGGGACUGGGAUUCAAAUCCCUGCAGGGGGAGACCAGCAGCCCCGACUUCAGCCGCCAUGCCUCCUGCCUGAGAAGCUAGCUGCGAAGGUUCCAGAAGGAGACUGCCCUCCGGGAACAGAAACAGCGCAUGACUGCGACCUGUCUGCAAAAAUCUUGAUCACUUGUAAAUCCUUCUCCACCUGAUAAGUUAUCACAUUGGCUCAUGAUGUUUUUUUUCAUUCUCACCCUAUGGCGUGGAUGCUGUUACUACCCCAUUUUACAAAGGAGUAAAGUGAGGCCCAGAGAGAACAGUUAAAUCACUUCCCCAGCUUCACUCAACUCAUCUACGGAAGAAAUGUACCACCACUCUGAAGAAUGAAAGAAAGCAAGCUAAAAAGGAGAGAGAGCAUGAAGAAGGAAGACAAAACUGAAGUUAGGUCAUGGAAACCAGAAGAGAUCCUGGGGCCACA
rnacentral:lncRNA from 10 species